CUUGCUCCUUUGACGUUAGCGGCGGACGGGUGAGUAACACGUGGGUAACCUACCUAUAAGACUGGGAUAACUUCGGGAAACCGGAGCUAAUACCGGAUAAUAUUUCGAACCGCAUGGUUCGAUAGUGAAAGGUGGUUUUGCUAUCACUUAUAAAUGGACCCGCGCCGUAUUAGCUAGUUGGUAAGGUAACGGCUUACCAAGGCGACGAUACGUAGCCGACCUGAAAGGGUGAUCGGCCACACUGGAACUGAGACACGGUCCAGACUCCUACGGGAGGCAGCAGGU
rnacentral:rRNA from 1 species